GGAUUAGCAGGGAAUGAAGCCCCUGUUGAGCUUGACUCUAGUCUAGCAUGGUGAAGAGACAUGAGAACAGUGCAAUAAGUAGAAGACCUCUGAUGCUCUCUGGUUCCCUGGGAGGGGUCAGGGUGAGCUCCACCAGCCUCACAGACUACAGUGAAAUGCUACUUCUCAUCAUUUUCCACUGACCCAGGGAGACAGGGGUGGCUUGAGCCAUGAGUGGUUCUCACUUCUGGCACCAAGUGUCUGUCACACAUAUUGUAUGCUAUGGCCCAUUCUGGGAACAGUGCCAUGUUCAUCGUUUGACUGGGGAGUUACACUUGUCAAACAGUAAUGCAGGUGUCCUACAGCGAACUCACAGAUGACGGAAACUAUCCUUAAAGGUUGCUUUACCAUGAUUUUCAUUACACAUACAAACCAUGAAAGCAGGGCAUGAAGAUCCUUCUGAAUUUCUGGUUUUUAAGUAGGAAUUGUCAGAAAAGUUACCACAGGAAUAACUGCCUUCUGGAAGAUAAGUGUUCAUAGUAACAGUUUUAUUGACCCUGCAAUGUCUGCUGUCCUUGUGAUUUUGAAGCAGAAUUCACCUAGGGUUGGAUUGUUGACCCAGUAAUAGGGAAUGUGAGCUGGAUUAGAACAUCAUGAGACAGAUUCGUUUUACCUACUGAUUAUGUGCUUUUUGCCUUUGAAUCCUGCUCAGUAUGAGAGGAACAAUAUGUUCAGACAUUUGGAGUGUAUACUCCACUGAGAAGACAAUGAGCAAGACUACCACUCGUAGAAUUAUGACUUAAGGCCCCUAAGUUGAAAUUCCACCGAUGCAGGGCUGUAAAAUGGAGCCAAAGACCCUCAGUUAGCCCUGGAUAGCCAGGUCUGGUCUAUACCUGCUGGAGGUGCCAUCGCAUUCCCACAAGGUGGUGGGUCCCUGUUGUGUUGGGGCACAGGUGUCCAGUGUGGAAAGACACUCAUCCUCUGAAACAUCGUGUGCUAAUGCAUGUGUGUGUAGAAUCUGGAGCUAAAUCAUUCCAAGAUGACCUGCUUCUGUGACAGGGAUUCAUAUAUAGCAGAACGGUUCACUUACUUUGUCUCUUGAAAGUCAUCCCUCAACACAAGGUUU
rnacentral:ncRNA from 1 species